AACUAAGAGUAUAGUUAUGAUAUGUAAGGGUUUCUCUUCCAAAAUUGUGAAAGGUUCACUUCUAUAUAAAUAGGGAACUGACCUAUUGGGCCGGGCUUGGUUUUUUUCUCUACUAAAAGCUUGUGGAUUUCCGUUCCGAUUUAUGACAUUAGGCUGAAUACAUGUAACAAUUUGUUUUUCAUAAAUCUUUAUUUCAGUGAGUAGAGGUAGGAGGAACACUUUCAUCGAUAUUCUGAGUUUGUUAUCUCCAAAUGUAAUAAUUGAUAAUUUUCUUUACUUUUCAUUGUCCAUAAUGGUAAUGUCUACUGUCUCUGGAAUUCUAUUCUUUAUGUCUAGGCUAUUUAUUUUACAACACAUUUCCGCUGGAUAUAAUAAAACCUGCCAUUAAUGUGUGCAAAUUAUAAAGGCCUAAAUGAAAUCCAAGGGAGUACAGUUACUGAUAUAUGUAGACCUACUCAAUGUGAUUAAAUUCUAAGGAAUAUACAUGUAUACAAUUGAAAUUCAUCGCAGCUCAAUGCUGCCGAGAAUACCUGUAUCGAGUAACACCGAGUGAGUUAUUCUUGUCCUCGGAGAAAGUGUGCUUAUACUGAGAUUUGUUCCGCCUGACUGACAACUGUACAUUGGAUUGUUACGAUUUGAUCUCUUUCUAGUGUUUCUUAUAUCAAAAAUGGGAAUGCAUAAAGGAUAGAUAAUUGAAGGAAAAUACACAAGUCUAUAAAAAAUUUAAAAUAGUCUUUCAAAAGGCUAAAAUUUAAAACUAUAAAAGUGUGGCACCAGGUGGAUUCGAACCCCCGACUUUAAAAAAGAAAAUACCACCGAUAUAAUAGUCAGCUCAUAUAUCAACUGAGCUAUUCUGACUAUAAGAUCGAAAGGUAUAAAUUUGAAGCAGAUUGUCAAAAUCACGUUUACUUAUUUUUUGUAGUUUUUUUGUGGAUUUCGACCCAAGGGCAGGGGUGCCCCUAAAAAAAUCCUAUCUUAAAUUAUUCCUUACAUCCCAACCUAUCAAAAUAUCACAAUUUCAUUUGGGGGCAGGCCUGCCCUGAAGGACUUCUAGGCCAAAAUUCAUACAAAAAUCAACGCUUUAACGGACAAAAUGGUGUUUCGGCCAACUUUGGAGGUUUAUUGUAAAGUUGUAAAUAAUAAAUUUUAGUUGUAAAAUACAAAUUUGAAAAAUCUAGACAUAUAAAAAACAACAAAUAAAGAUUGAUUUUUAAAUAUCACUUUUUCCGGGAAAUUGUUCUCUCCUAUAGGUCAAUUCUUUUGUAAUAGUGAAUACAUCCUUUAUGGCCCCUGGGUCAGGGUUCUGGUUUUAGGACAGGGCUAUAAUUAUUACAUAGUGAAAAUGCAUUAAUUCUUUGAUAAUCCUCUGCUCUCUUUCUUGGUAUUAAGUACCGAUAAGCUUACUAUAUGUUAAGUUAUGAUGAGCAAGUGUGCCUCUUUCGAUAUUGUGAAUUUCAUGACUUCUGGUUUAAAACGUGAACCCAAUUUAAUUGUGGCAAAGUUGUUCCAUGAUACUCAGGUGACCUACAAGGCCCGUGGGCCUCUUGUUACAAAAAACAAUCCAAGUUUUGGAUUCACAACACUAUAUACAUCUUAAACCAGAUGCUUAAUCCAAACACCAACGUUCAUAUACUAGUACUGGUAGGUUUAUCCCGAACAAGAAGGAAGUGUUGUGUCAUCACUUAUAGGAACUUUUACAUCUAGAUAUCAUUCCCUCUGUAACAUCUGAUGAGAAUGUUUCUAUCUGUAUUCUUCUAGUAAGCAUUGAAAUGAAUAAAAUCUUCAAGUUAAGUCCCUGUAUUAUCUCUGCAGUGACUUUCAUCAUUUAAACUGACAAUCACGACAUUUCAGAUUAACUUUACCUGACUGACUACAAGAUUUGGCAGAAUCCUUUACCUACUGGUAUAACAAAUUAUGGAUCAUCCAGUUACCUGAGCUUUGGAUUCUUUCAAAUGAGUAUAGCCGAGAAUCAUUUAGAUGACCUUACAGAGCUGUUUGAAUUAUUUCCACAGGCUGACCUUAUACGCAAUACUAGCAGAAAGCAUAGUUGCGCCAAGAAAUUGUAUUUUCCUUGGACAUUUGAACUACAAAGAUGGCCUGUCUCCAUCACAAGAUAGGGUUGAAGCCAUUCAAAGACCCACUUUUCUUCCUGCUGAAACAAGAUGUUCACUUCCUGUGGACCGUAAAGCAAAGAGAACCAUUUAAUCCACCUUCCAAUACUUGCAUUCUCUCGUUUUGAUCCACAGUUUCGCAUCGCUGGUAAUACAUGGAGUCUAACCAUGGAUUCAUUUUAUACCAGAUUUAUCCAGGGGAAGAUGAUUCAGCAACUCUCCAUGUGCGUAAUAAUAUACAUGGUUUUGGAUUGUGGGUCAUACGUCAGAAGGACCUGCUAUUUCAUCGUUGAAUGUGACAACCUAGCUAUGAAAUUCCCUGUAUCAGAAAAACGUGUAAGUGCCAUGUAUGAACGCUGGUUACCCAUACUACAGAUAUUUAAUUUCAAUAAUGUUUACAAGCCAGCCUUCGUCUUUGAUGGGCUAAAAAUUGCAGAAUUUGUAUAAUAUUAAAUGCAAUUAAAGUUUUGUUUGACCAGAAAAAUUUUUCAAAAGUUAUAUUAAUUUGAAAUUUUGACUUAAGUCUGUUUUCAUGAUCAGUUCAUGGUUGUAAAGCAAGGAUGAUCUUUAUUUCCCUACUUUAAAGAGGAAUCUGGAUAUUUAUAUUUCCCAUGUUGGAAACAUCUGACACAACAAAUGUUAAACAUAAGUCACUAUGAAAUUGAUCAUCUAUGACUUGACAAAAAACCUAUUUCAGACAAUGGCUUUAAAGCAGAUACUUAAGGAAUAACUGUCUAAUUUUUUGGAUUCAUGAUGUGAUCAAUC